CACUACCUACCGGGAAGGCAGGCAGGUGGGGAAGUAAUUUGCAUCAAAUGGGCAGGCAAGCCAUGAUGCAGCCAUGCCGCGUGUGUGAAGAAGGCCUUCGGGUUGUAAAGCACUUUCAGUCGUGAGGAAGGUAGUGUAGUUAAUAGCUGCAUUAUUUGACGUUAGCGACAGAAGAAGCACCGGCUAACUCCGUGCCAGCAGCCGCGGUAAUACGGAGGGUGCGAGCGUUAAUCGGAAUUACUGGGCGUAAAGCGCAUGCAGGUGGUUUGUUAAGUCAGAUGUGAAAGCCCGGGGCUCAAGCCUCGGAAUUGCAUUUG
rnacentral:rRNA from 1 species